AGACGUUUGAAAGCCACAAAGUCAAGCCAACUACCACCCAUCCAGCAACUGGGGACGACAUUUGCGCAAGUAUAAAAAAAACACACACACACAAAUAUAGAAAAUGACCGUCCCAGCUUUAUAAAGGCGAGAUGAAACACAGGCAGAAGAGCGAACCAAAACAAAUAAGCACAAAAAAGUGAAGCAAAUAACAUGACAUAAGUACGCAGCAGCAGCAGCAGCGGCGGCUAAGAAGGGACACAAAAUUCCACCUCACGGCGAACGGCCACUAUCAUUGUCGCUGGGGUGGAGUGAUGGGAUGCAGAGAGUACGGGUUUCGAUACAUGGAGACAUAAGAAGAAGUCAUUUGAGUUCCCUUUGUAUUCAGAAACAUUGAUAGACUUUUUGAUUGGUUGGCGAUUCCGUAACCACGAACCACUACCGUCCGCAACGGUCUUAGCGGAGGAACCAAAAGCUUAUUAGUCAUAAAACAGCACGGUACAUGUUUCAACUCGAUAUGAGAAGUUCUAUAAACUUUCAAAUACACACUGCCAGUAAAAUGAAACAUCGAAUCGGCACACACAGCGGUUAAUCGCUCAUGGAGACAAAAGAAGAAGUUGUUAGUGUCGAAUUGGUCAACCAGAAAAAAAAGUGUUCUCUAUCAUGAGUACAGAAAUUUACACAAAAACACGAAAAAAGACCCAAGUGGAGAUCUAGUACACUUGAAGUACGGAAAAAUGAAAAUGAAAUGAAUGUACCAGAAAAAUAUCAACGUGUCACAGUGACAUUUUUUCCGUGACUGUCGAAUGAAAGCGUGAAUCUAGAGUGCGAUGCUGCAAACAGUGUCAUUUUGUAAAAUUGUAUGUCAACGAGUAUCACCGUUCACAACACUGGGCACAGUCACGUAUCUAUUAACGACUCCGUUGUAGUUGAGCGCAAUGGUCACCCAAAACCGAGCAUCAAGAAAGGCUGGCUCCGAUCGACAUCAGCCUCAGUAUUAAUUCGUAUUCGCAAGCAAUCCCGAAUUUGAUAAGAUUUUAUUAAAUUUUCUCGCAAUUCGCACCCCUCAUCCAAUUGAACGUCUGAAUGCCAAACU